rnacentral:rRNA from 1 species
CAGGUGCUGCAUGGCUGUCGUCAGCUCGUGUUGUGAAAUGUUGGGUUAAGUCCCGCAACGAGCGCAACCCUUAUCCUUUGUUGCCAGCGGUUAGGCCGGGAACUCAAAGGAGACUGCCAGUGAUAAACUGGAGGAAGGUGGGGAUGACGUCAAGUCAUCAUGGCCCUUACGACCAGGGCUACACACGUGCUACAAUGGCGCAUACAAAGAGAAGCGACCUCGCGAGAGCAAGCGGACCUCAUAAAGUGCGUCGUAGUCCGGAUUGGAGUCUGCAACUCGACUCCAUGAAGUCGGAAUCGCUAGUAAUCGUGGAUCAGAAUGCCACGGUGAAUACGUUCCCGGGCCUUGUACACACCGCCCGUCACACCAUGGGAGUGGGUUGCAAAAGAAGUAGGUAGCUUAACCUUCGGGAGGGCGCUUACCACUUUGUGAUUCAUGACUGGGGUGAAGUCGUAACAAGGUAACCGUAGGGGAACCUGC